rnacentral:rRNA from 1 species
GAGGGCGGGGGAUAACCACUGGAAACGGUGGCUAAUACCGCAUAAUGUCGCAAGACCAAAGUGGGGGACCUGAAAGGGCCUCACGCCGUCGGAUGAACCCAGAUGGGAUUAGCUGGUAGGUAGGGUAAUGGCCUACCUAGGCGACGAUCCCUAGCUGGUCUGAGAGGAUGACCAGCCACACUGGGACUGAGACACGGCCCAGACUCCUACGGGAGGCAGCAGUGGGGAAUAUUGCACAAUGGGCGCAAGCCUGAUGCAGCCAUGCCGCGUGUAUGAAGAAGGCCUUCGGGUUGUAAAGUACUUUCAGCGGGGAGGAAGGGUUGAGCCUGAACAGGGCUGGGCCUUGACGUUACCCGCAGAAGAAGCACCGGCUAACUCCGUGCCAGCAGCCGCGGUAAUACGGAGGGUGCGAGCGUUAAUCGGAAUGACUGGGCGUAAAGCGCACGCAGGCGGUCAAUUAAGUUAGAUGUGAAAUCCCCGGGCUCAACCUGGGAACGGCAUCUAAGACUGGUUGACUGGAGUCUCGUAGAAGGGGGUAGAAUUCCAUGUGUAGCGGUGAAAUGCGUAAAGAUGUGGAAGAAUACCGGUGGCGAAGGCGGCCCCCUGGACAAAAACU